GGAGAAAUGAACUUAAUGAAGUCGGCCCUCCUUAUCUGCGGAUUCCACAUGCGCGAAUUCAACCAUCUGUGGAUCGCGAAACCCGGAAGUGCUCUUCCAGCACUUGUUGUUUGAGCAUGUUGUCAGCAAGGAAUAAAUCAAUAUAUG